GAUUUAUAAUCGAUGUUCACGCGACCAACCACUGAUUCCAUUUCCCCGAAGAUAACCUGUGUUUGUCGCCACGUUGCCACCUAGUGUUCAGCACUUCUAUAUAAGUACGUCGUGCUAGUGGUAUUCACUCAGUAUUCACAUCGUAGCUCGAGCACCACGCACCUCAUCAUCAGCUCCGUAUCCAACUAUUGCUAUACUCCUCCUAGCUGACAUACAGCUACAAGAGCCCUGAAGAUUCAAAACUAUUUUUCUACAUACACAAAAAAGAUGAAGGUUACUUUUGCAUUUGUUGCUGUCAUGCUGUGUCUAUGGAUGAGCACCGACGCGAUGCCUUUUGACACCGUAGAUGAUAAGGCGGACGAACCACUUUUGCGUUUCUCUCGUGGCGUAGCGUGCGCACAACAGUGCCAUACCUGUGCGUUCGAAUGGGGGAAAUCAUUCGGUCUACGCAAAUGCUACCAAGAUUGCAGUAAAGGAGAGUCACCAGACACGAAAUGCUUGAACUACGGUCACUUCUAGGCGCUUCACACGUAUUAUGUUUGUCAUGACUUUAGAUGUAUAUGUUUGCACAGCCGUACAACCUAACAUCCGGGAACUGUUGCAGGGGCUUUAGCAGUCAAACAACGCGAUCGUUGUCCGGAUGUUAAACGUGACUUACUCUGUACCUUACAAGAAAUAACAAAUAGAAGAAUCCUUUCAUUUUACUUUAAUUUACAUGUGUAUAUCAAAAGUGCUACUCACAACAUUAUGUUAUGCAUACACCAACAGUAUGUGUAUUAUUUAUAAUCUACAAUCCAAAAAUGUAAAGAAAUAAAUUAUUGAUGUUUGACAGAAAAG